GCGGGCUACCUGUCAACAUGUGCCGUUUGAAAAUGGAGUCGCUGUAAAUCUUCUCAACUGACGGAUGAAGAUGGACGUGCUUUUUCGAGCAUGGACCCUACAACAGUUGCAGUGUGGAAAGCUGCUAAUUAAUAUUAGCACGGAAAUGCUUUGAUCUCGGAAAGGUCAUCACAAUCUGGAGGCAGUUCCCAAGAGGCUGAACAGGUGGAGGGUCCUGAAUGUACUGACAGCCUACAGAACCAGGCCAGACACUACAAAGUUCUCCAAGCCCAGACCUAACAAGAAGGAUGUUGCCCAGCUGUUGGACCUUGAAUACCAAGCAAGACGGGCUUACAUUGACUCUGAUGUUUUGAAGGAGAAAGACAAACCUACCAAGAUUCUUAAAAAAAGUGGAUCAUAUAAUGGAUGAACUAUAGCGGAUGCUCAGUCAAGGAAACUCCCACUUCAUACCUGAACUGAAGAACCGCUGGAGGACCUUUUGUGAGAAGUUUCAGUUUUAUGGAGUUUUCAAAAAAAAGUCACAAGACUUCCAACGGCAGCUAAAGUAAAGCAAGCGGUUGCGAUGAUAAAGGCUUUGCCAGACAUCUUUCCAUCCCCUAUUGCUCCACCAAAGAAGUUUGCAAGUGAGGACAUUUUUUCCUGUACUUUACAGCAGGGCUAUUCAACUGUGUUGUUAAGGGGCCACAUUUUUAGAAAGCCAAGUGCCAGGGGGGCUAGACAUUCUCCUGAUUUUUUUAUGCACAGUCUUUCAGCAUUUCGAUGAUGGCCAAUAAUUGUAAUUUUUUUUCUGUUACUAUGCACCUUGAAUAUAAU